CCUACUGGAGGCAGCAGUGGGGAAUGUUGCGCAAUGCUCGUAAGAGUGACGCAGCGACGCCGCGUGAAUGACGAAGGCCUUCGGGUCGUAAAGUUCUUUCGACAGGGAAGAAAAUGCCUAUAAGUAACUGUGUAUGUAUUGACGGUACCUGUAUAAGCAGCCCCGGCUAACUCCGUGCCAGCAGCCGCGGUAAUACGGAGGGGGCGAGCGUUGUUCGGAGUGACGGGGCGUAAAGAGCACGUAGGCGGUGUGGUAAGUCAUGAGUCAAAGACUAGAGCUCAACUUUAGUAAGGCUAGUGAUACUCUCAUACUAGAGUAUCAGAGAGGCUUGCCGCCUUCCUGGUGUAGCGGU
rnacentral:rRNA from 1 species